rnacentral:lncRNA from 10 species
ACUGGGUCCCGCGCAGGCGUCCCCGGGACCGCAGAGCAAACUUUCUGGACUAUCUGAGGACACUUGUCCAGCGAGCCCCACUGCUCGGGGAGGAGGAGCCACGGCCGGGGACAGGUGAUACACUUGGGUGUUGAAGGACAUUUUUGAAAUCAUGAGAACUCAAUGUUUGACUAUGAAUGUUUCGUUAUAACUGCCUGGAAGGUUAGCGUCAAAGAAGUUGAGUGAAAUUCUAGAGAAUCCAAGAACAAGUUAAUCCUCAGUGUUGAUUAGCAGCAUUAGUGAGCAUGGAGAAAAUGGAUCACUA